CCUACGGGAGGCAGCAGUGGGGAAUAUUGGGCAAUGGGCGCAAGCCUGACCCAGCAACGCCGCGUGAAGGAAGAAGGCUUUCGGGUUGUAAACUUCUUUUCUCAGGGACGAAGCAAGUGACGGUACCUGAGGAAUAAGCCACGGCUAACUACGUGCCAGCAGCCGCGGUAAUACGUAGGGGGCAAGCGUUAACCGGAUUUACUGGGUGUAAAGGGCGUGUAGGCGGGACGGCAAGUCAGAUGUGAAAACCAUGGGCUCAACCUAUGACCUGCAUUUGAAACUGUAGUUCUUGAGUCCUGGAGAGGCAGACGGAAUUCCUAGUGUAGCGGUGAAAUGCGUAGAGAUUAGGAGGAACACCAGUGGCGAAGGCGGUCUGCUGGACAGCAACUGACGCUGAGGCGCGAAAGCGUGGGGAGCAAACAGGAUUAGAUACCCUGGUAGUC
rnacentral:rRNA from 1 species